rnacentral:rRNA from 1 species
UGGGGAAUUUUGGACAAUGGGCGAAAGCCUGAUCCAGCCAUGCCGCGUGAGUGAAGAAGGCCUUCGGGUUGUAAAGCUCUUUUAGUCGGAAAGAAAGAGUUGCAAUGAAUAAUUGUGAUUUAUGACGGUACCGACAGAAAAAGCACCGGCUAACUACGUGCCACCAGCCGCGGUAAUACGUAGGGUGCGAGCGUUAAUCGGAAUUACUGGGCGUAAAGGGUGCGCAGGCGGUCUUGCAAGUCAGAUGUGAAAGCCCCGGGCUUAACCUGGGAAUUGCGUUUGAAACUACAAGGCUAGAGUGCAGCAGAGGGGAGUGGAAUUCCAUGUGUAGCAGUGAAAUGCGUAGAGAUGUGGAAGAACACCGAUGGCGAAGGCAGCUCCCUGGGUUGACACUGACGCUCAUGCACGAAAGCGUGGGGAGCAAACA